rnacentral:rRNA from 1 species
CCUACGGGAGGCAGCAGUGGGGAAUAUUGGGCAAUGGGCGCAAGCCUGACCCAGCAACGCCGCGUGAAGGAAGAAGGCUUUCGGGUUGUAAACUUCUUUUGUCAGGGACGAAGCAAGUGACGGUACCUGACGAAUAAGCCACGGCUAACUACGUGCCAGCAGCCGCGGUAAUACGUAGGUGGCAAGCGUUAUCCGGAUUUACUGGGUGUAAAGGGCGUGUAGGCGGGGAAGCAAGUCAGAUGUGAAAACCACGGGCUCAACCUGUGGCCUGCAUUUGAAACUGUUUUUCUUGAGUGCUGGGGAGGCAAUCGGAAUUCCGGGUGUAGCGGUGAAAUGCGUAGAUAUACGGAGGAACACCAGUGGCGAAGGCGGAUUGCUGGACAGUAACUGACGCUGAGGCGCGAAAGCGUGGGGAGCAAACAGGAUUAGAUACCCGUGUAGUC